AGGGAGGAGAACAACAGGGAUUGCCCCAGUAACGGCGAGUGAAGCGGCAACAGCUCAAAUUUGAAAUCUGGCCCUCGGGUCCGAGUUGUAAUUUGCAGAGGAUGCUUCGGGCGAGGUGCCUUCCGAGUUCCCUGGAACGGGACGCCAUAGAGGGUGAGAGCCCCGUCUGGUCGGACACCGAGCCCGUGUGAAGCUCCUUCGAAGAGUCGAGUAGUUUGGGAAUGCUGCUCAAAAUGGGAGGUAUAUGUCUUCUAAAGCUAAAUAUUGGCCAGAGACCGAUAGCGCACAAGUAGAGUGAUCGAAAGAUGAAAAGCACUUUGAAAAGAGGGUUAAAAAGUACGUGAAAUUGUUGAAAGGGAAGCGCCCAUGACCAGACUUGGGCCCGGUGAAUCAUCCGGCGUUCUCGCCGGUGCACUUUGCCGGGCACAGGCCAGCAUCAGUCUGGCGCGGGGGAUAAAGGCUUCGGGAAUGUGGCUCCCUCGGGAGUGUUAUAGCCCGUUGCGCAAUACCCUGCGCCGGACUGAGGUACGCGCAUCGCAAGGAUGCUGGCGUAAUGGUCAUCAGCGACCCGUCUUGAAACACGGACCAAGGAGUCGUCUUCGUAUGCGAGUGUUCGGGUGUCAAACCCCUACGCGGAAUGAAAGUGAACGCAGGUGAGAGCUUCGGCGCAUCAUCGACCGAUCCUGAUGUUCUCGGAUGGAUUUGAGUAAGAGCAUACGGGGCCGGACCCGAAGAAGGUGAACUAUGCCUGUAUAGGGUGAAGCCAGAGGAAACUCUGGUGGAAGCUCGCAGCGGUUCUGACGUGCGAAUCGAUCGUCAAAUAUGGGCAUGGGGGCGAAAGACUAAUCGAACCUUCUAGUAGCUGGUUCCGCGGCCCUCUCUCUCUCCGACGAAAAAGAG
rnacentral:rRNA from 1 species